UACAUAGGGUGCGAGCGUUGUCCGGAAUCACUGGGCGUAAAGGGCGCGUAGGUGGCCUGGUAAGUAGGGGGUGAAAUCUCGGAGCUCAACUCCGAAACUGCACUUGAUACUGCCUUGCUCGAGUACUGGAGAGGAGAUUGGAAUUUAUGGUGUAGCAGUGAAAUGCGUAGAGAUCAUAAGGAAGACCAGUGGCGAAGGCGACUGCCUGGACCAGCACUGACACUGAGGCACGAAAGCGUGGGGAGCAAACAGG
rnacentral:rRNA from 1 species